rnacentral:rRNA from 1 species
UACGGAGGAGGCAAGCGUUAUCCGGAAUUAUUGGGCGUAAAGCGUCCGCAGGUGGUUUAUCAAGUCAGCUGUUAAAGCGUGGGGCUUAACUCCAUAAGGGCAGUUGAAACUGAUAGGCUAUAGUGCGAUAGGGGCAAGGGGAAUUCCCAGUGUAGCGGUGAAAUGCGUAGAUAUUGGGAAGAACACCGGUGGCGAAAGCGCCUUGCUGGGUCUGCACUGACACUGAGGGACGAAAGCUAGGGG